UAUAUAGGUGUUUCCCGCAAGGGAGCCGAACAGAGAAGCCGGUGGAAAUCCGGCACGGUACCGCCGCUGUAACAGGGAGCUGAUCCGCAUGUUUGAUGUCACUGGGAAACCGGGAAGACGCGGAGAUGUGAUGAACUGAAGUCAGAAGAACUGCCUAUA
rnacentral:ncRNA from 1 species